rnacentral:lncRNA from 1 species
UGGAGGCUGAAAGGGCUUCCGGACGCAUAAAUCGCACCAGGCGCCGUCGUACGCCGGACCAACGACACAUCAAAACAUUUCUAGUUGUUAGAAAGGCGGCGGGGAAAGAAGCAUCCAUACGCGCACGCAAUUAGACCCCCGCCGUGAGAUGCGUCGGCGGCUGUGAGGCAGGUGGGGACAUGCCUGGAGGCUGAAAGGGCUUCCGGACGCAUAUAUCGCACCAGGCGCCGUCGUACGCCGGACCAACGAUGCAUCAUAACAUUUCUAGUUGCUAGAAAGGCGGCGGGGAAUAGGAGCAUCCAUACGCGCACGCAAUUAGACCCCCGCCGUGAGAUGCGUCGGCGGCUGUGAGGCAGGUGGGGACAUGCCUGGAGGCUGAAAGGGCUUCCGGACGCAUAAAUCGCACCAGGCGCCGUCGUACGCCGGACCAACGAUUGCAUCAUAACAUUUCUAGUUGUUAGAAAGGCGGCGGGGAAAGAAGCAUCCAUACGCGCACGCAAUUAGACCCCCGCCGUGAGAUGUGUCGGUGGCUGUGAGGCAGGUGGGGACAUGCCUGGAGGCUGAAAGGGCUUCCGGACGCAUAUAUCGCACCAGGCGCCGUCGUACGCCGGACCAACGAUGCAUCAUAACAUUUCUAGCUGCUAGAAAGGCGGCGGGGAAAGGAGCAUCCAUACGCGCACGCAAUUAGACCCCCGCCGUGAGAUGUGUCGGCGGCUGUGAGGCAGGUGGGGACAUGCCUGGAGGCUGAAAGGGCUUCCGGACGCAUAUAUCGCACCAGGCGCCGUCGUACGCCGGACCAACGAUGCAUCAUAACAUUUCUAGUUGCUAGAAAGGCGGCAGGAAUAGGAGCAUCCAUACGGUCACGCAAUUAGACCCCCGCCGUGAGAUGCGUCGGUGGCUGUGAGGCAGGUGGGGACAUGCCUGGAGGCUGAAAGGGCUUCCGGACGCAUAUAUCGCACCAGGCGCCGUCGUACGCCGGACCAACGAUGCAUCAUAACAUUUCUAGCUGCUAGAAAGGCGGCGGGGAAAGGAGCAUCCAUACGCGUCACGCAAUUAGACCCCCGCCGUGAGAUGCGUCGGCGGCUGUGAGGCAGGUGGGGACAUGCCUGGAGGCUGAAAGGGCUUCCGGACGCAUAUAUCGCACCAGGCGCCGUCGUACGCCGGACCACCGAUGCAUCAUAACAGUAACUAGCUGCUAGAAAGGCGGCGGGGUAGGAGCAUCCAUACGGCACGCAAUUAGACCCCCGCCGUGAGAUGCGUCGGCGGCUGUGAGGCAGGUGGGGACAUGCCUGGAGGCUGAAAGGGCUUCCGGACGCAUAUAUCGCACCAGGCGCCGUCGUACGCCGGACCAACGAUGCAUCAUAACAUUUCUAGUUGUUAGAAAGGCGGCGGGGAAAGGAGCAUCCAUACGGCACGCAAUUAGACCCCCGCCGUGAGAUGCGUCGGUGGCUGUGAGGCAGGUGGGGACAUGCCUGGAGGCUGAAAGGGCUUCCGGACGCAUAAAUCGCACCAGGCGCCGUCGUACGCCGGACCAACGAAGCAUCAUAACAUUUCUAGUUGUUAGAAAGGCGGCAGGAAUAGAAGCAUCCAUACGCGCACGCAAUUAGAACCCCGCCGUGAGAUGCGUCGGUGGCUGUGAGGCAGGUGGGGACAUGCCUGGAGGCUGAAAGGGCUU